rnacentral:lncRNA from 1 species
GGCGGUCCGGGGGUGCUCCUUCUCUUGCCGACCGACCGGGUGAGGCGGGGCAACAACGCGCCUGGGCUCUGCGGGUGGAUUCCGCUCCCGGGCUGCAGUGCCCUCAUUGUGCGAGGACCCAGCCUCGAGGCCCACAGAGGCCUCUGAGCCCCGGGGCUUCCCGGACUGGUGGGGUCUGCAGCAACGCCCCCCCCCCACCUUGGCAAACCAUGGCUCUCAGUCAAAGCCGGGUUUCAGUCGGGGCUCAGCCACUGCCAGCUUUGUAGCAGUGCUCUUGGAUAGAGUCCUCACCUUCUCCAGUCUCUGUGUCCUCCUCUGUAAAGGGGGUACAGAGACACCUUAUUAUCACUGGCUGAUUGGGAGGCCUAAACGAGGUGACGGGGCCAAGCUCCUGGCAGAACUGACGGUUCCCGGGAGCUGUUCUCUGGCUGCCAAAGAAACACUGUCAGUGGAAAUCUGACUCCAGAUCCUGUCCAGAUCCCCGAGUGCCAUCCAUUCCUUUUGUCCCUUCUCAAGCCCCCACCUGUGUCUGGGGCUACACAUCAAUACCCACAGGGCACAGAGUUUGGAGUCAGGGACCCCUAUCCACGCUGGCCUCACCUGGCAGCAGGCAGGACUAUGAGGAAGAAGUAGGAUGGGAGGUCAUCUGGCUUUCUUCCGAAAUGGAGGUAUGACCUGGGCAGAGCUUGGCACCCAGCUGGGGUCCCCGCAGCCCCCCAUCAUGAAUCUUUGGGCCGGCCGUGCACUGUGUAGCUUGGCCAGAACAGCAGGCCAGCUGAGGCCCCUAAAGUCUGGAAGUGGAGCGCCCCCUCCCUCCCAAUCAGAGGAACCUACCGAAAAAGUCCCAGAGCCAAAACUAGGGCGGGUCUGAGUUUACCAACUUGAAGUCAGAAGCAGGUACCCAGCUAGAGCACUGAGAAGGCAGCCCUCCUGCCUGCUUAGAACCUUCUCAAGAAUCCCGUUCUCUGCUGCUUCCAUCCAGACUCCGUGGCUUGCCCUGUCUAGAGCCUGUGAUCCAUGGGCAGGAAGGAGGCACUCUACCUCCCAGGCAACCUGGGCCAGCACAUCCUGCAAGGUCAUCCUGCUGAACCAGGCAGCACCCCUCUUGGUGGAUUUGCUUGCAUCUUCUCAUGGGCAAGUGCACUCUGACUUCAGGCUUUCUCCAUCACCUGAGCCUCUGACUACUUGGCAAACUCAUUCUCAGUCUUUAGGACCCAGCCCAAUCUCUCUUCCUUGGCAAAGCUCUCCCUGACCCUCUUGUGCCCUGGAUGGUACUUGUGUGAUGAGGCCCCUGUGCCCGUGCCUGGCUGUUAUCUCCUUACCUGUCUAUCUCCAGCCCAGGAACCAGGACUCAUGGGCCCUGUCUAGGGUUAGACCUGACAUGAUCAGGGAGCUUAUUGAAAGAACGAUUGAUUGAAUGAAUGAGGGAGGUCAUUAAGCCAGUGAAGGAUUUAACACCACCAACCCCCCACCCCCACCCCCAGCACAAGUCCUGGAAGAAGCAUUCUUGAUCUGCCCAGCUUCAACCCUUCCUAUUGCCAGCCUCACCUGGUCUGGACAGGGAAGAAGGGUGGGCAAGGGCUCCCCACCUUCAGAAAGGUGCAGCAUACUGUCUGUUAACCUGGCACCUAGGAAAGGCAAAAGCCACUGUGUCCUUACCGGUGGGAGGAGGGAAGAGGAGGGGGGGUCCACACUUUGCUCCCCUGGUGGAGGAGCGUCAGCCCUGCUGCCAGUCAUCUGCUGGGAGGGAACUGGGUCAAGCGGUAGUCAGAAACCAUCUGCUCGAGAAGCUGGGAUUAUCCCGCCCUCUGCUGAUCCCCCAGCCCACAGGAGCCAAGGGUGUAAAUUGAGUCCUUCCAGAUCACCUUGUACUUUUUUUUUUGGAGGGAGGGACUCUUCAUCCCCUCCUGAGGGGCAAGGACCUGUUCCUGUUGGUUCAAAGUCUCAUUUAGCAUUGGGCUCAAUUCUUGUGUUGGUGACCUCAGCCUUCUAUCUUGGCCAGGGAUGUGACUGCACCUGUCAGUUUUGAAUACAAUAAUGCACAACGAUGCCGUAGCCAACGCCCUGCACGCAGGCUGCAGGACCAGGCCGCCCCCACGCAGGAUGCUGGCUCCCUGCUGCCAUCAGGGACCUCGGGCCCAAUGGAGAAGGCAGGAAGGAAAUAUGGUGACACUAUAGAGUCAGGCAUACAGAAAAUGGAAGAGGUAUUUUCCAUCAAGCUCAGAGCACUUUGUUCUCACACCAGUUUCUGUUUGUUUGCAUAACCCAUCGCUAAGUGUCAAUUUGUGGCUGGUGAAAAUUUCCAAAGUAACAAGGCACACCAUAAAAGCAAGACUGAAGUCUCAUUUGCAAAAAGGAUUAAGUACCCAGGUGCAGUACUUGACUACACAGCUCCUGCAGGGUAUGGGGGAAGAGAAGGCCUUAGCUGGAGAGAGGUUUUGGCAGAGUUGGACUCAAGGACCUGGCAUUCACUUUCCUACCACUGCUGCGGCCAAACGUCACCAUCCUACAUCACGCCUCUCCAGAACAACUUGGUGUCAGCAUGGCAGGAGCUGUAGGCCUGGCUCAUGGUGGCUUCCUGCCCAGGGGACAGGAGAUGGACAAGGUGAGCCUGGAGCCAAGUUCAAAGAAGGAUCCCACAGAGGCGGGCCCUAAGGUAUAAGGGGCCAAGAUGGCCCUUUUAAAAGCUCAGACACCAACAUGGAGCCCUGCAGAACACCUCAAGAUACCUCAUGCUUUUGAGGUCACAGAACCAGGUCCUUGAUGAGCAAGUGGGAGGGUUAUUUUGAUGAAACAGCUCCAUGUGUCUCACCAACACAGCUGGACAGCACCCACCAGCCACAGAGGGCCCCAGUGGCUGUAUUCACCUUAGGUCUGGCAACUCGUGAUCUCCUACAUCAUUGUGCCGAGCUGCCCAAUGCCCAGUGUGUGACUUAGUGCCUUGAUUCAUCACACAGGACACAUGGAAAACUGAAGGGCCACCUGUGGUUUGGCCAACACCCUGAAGGUCAGCCAUAGGCCUGGGACUCCAUCAGAGACCCACAGCAGGCCACCACCUGUGUGCUCCUGUCCCUCCCCAGGGACAGGGACAUCUGGCCACACAGCCCAUCCCUCCUUUGACACCUCUAUUCAGUGGCCCAACAGGCUUGCACUCAGAAGCAUCUUGUGAGGCUUUUCAUCCACAAUGUCACUUUCGGAUUUCCUCAGCUCCUGACACCCUGGAGACCAUUGACUGUUAUCGAGAAACACAAAUCACUGUGUCCUGGCCCCAUUCUCAGUGAGACCAUGGAACCUGAAAGAAACCAACUUGAGAGGACCUCCUCCUCUGCAUCACCUAGCAGGGCUGUGGGUGGGGCUCCUGGAGGCUGCUCGAGAGUAGGAUUUAACAUGUUUUGAA